UACGUAGGGUGCAAGCGUUGUCCGGAAUUAUUGGGCGUAAAGAGCUCGUAGGCGGUUUGUCGCGUCUGCUGUGAAAACCCGAGGCUCAACCUCGGGCCUGCAGUGGGUACGGGCAGACUAGAGUGCGGUAGGGGAGACUGGAAUUCCUGGUGUAGCGGUGAAAUGCGCAGAUAUCAGGAGGAACACCGGUGGCGAAGGCGGGUCUCUGGGCCGAUAUUGACGCUGAGGAGCGAAAGCGUGGGGAGCAAACAGG
rnacentral:rRNA from 1 species